GAGUCCACAGUACAUGUCCACAUGGACUUGGGCUUACAUGCAAAGCUUCCAAGAGCCAUUUUGGCACAGGGCCCUGUAUGAACACUUACUUGAAAAACUCGGGAAAUGCAGUGUUCUUUUCUUCCCGAUUAUUUCAAAAGAAGAGUUCCACUUCACACUUCUCACAUUUCACAAAAAUGAACGAAAGUGGAGACACUACAAUCCACUUAGAUCGUUGGGACAUAGAAAAGAAGAAAGGUGCAUUGACAUUGCUCGAAACUUUGUUAAUAUUGUUGAAGGGUGGCUAGAAUAUAUAAGACCUCAAGCACGAGUGUUCAUAGAAACUAAAAAAAAAACCAACAAUUGUGAAGCAAAAGGAAGGGCCCCCGACACUUGUACAAAAAGAUUUGACUCCAACUGAAGAACUCACUCUCAAUUGGAUUAUGCAAAAUCCAUUGCAGUUUCCAUUUGAGGAUGACAUGGAAUGUGCUCAACAAACUGUAUCUUCAUUGGAUUGCGGCAUGUUCGUCAUGUUCUAUAUGGAUAAAAUAGCACAAGGACAGCCCAUUCCAAAAAGCGUGGACAAGAAAUUCAUGAAUGAAUAUCGAGCACAAUAUGUCACAAAACUCCUACACCACAAAAACUGUGUAAUUAAUCGUCUCUAGUGAUUUGCCUUUCGUUAACUCAAGGCAAUAUGUAUCUUAAUUCUUGUGGAUGUUUGUAAAUAUUUCUAGUUAUGGUAUAUGAGAACAUAUUUC